ACCAUCCAGGACCCUUACUGGAUACCAGGUGGGAAUCAAACUUGCGAUUCCCACUCCAAAGAGAUAUAAAAAACAAGGAAGCCAAGAAAGAAGUGACGAGUGAAUUCCGGGAACUGAAUGAGAGUCUGAGUGAACACUUCAGUGAGGACUGCUUCAAAGUGUUCACAGUGAGUGCUGAAGAGUUCCUAAAAAGAAAAGGUGUAAAAGAAGAUGCCAAUGAAAUAGCCAAACUUCAAGACUUCUUGCAAAAUUGCAAUGAUUGUCACUCUGAGACAUGUAACUAUGUGACUGGAGCUUAUGGGAUUCUGUCUUUGAUUGAAGGAGCCAGGCGCAGAAAAGAGGGUGUUGGAAAAGCAGAUGAUGUAUGUAAAGUCCUUGAGAAAAACAUGAGGGAACAACUUAAUACAGUGAAAACAGCAGUUGAAGAAGCAACCAAGGACUUUGAACAGUGUCUCGCAGAAGGGAUUAAAAAUUUCAUAACCUCUGAAAAAAAACUGAAGACCUUUUUGGAUCGUGUAUGUAUCUUAAUCAUAAUUAAAUCAAAGCAGCAGAUUUUGCAUUCUUUAUGAGCAUGCGUUUAAAAAUGUUUUCCUGAUUUGUUUUAG
ensembl:lncRNA